GGAGGAAGACACCAUUUUAGUUGACACCGAGGUCACUGCCUUCACCAAUGGUCAGCUUCCGCAACAGAAGCUAACAUUCAGGAAAUUGAAUGCCGAUUCCUCGGAUCGGCCUGCUGCUGAGUCUUUUGUAGCUAGCAGCUAAUAUAAUCUUUUCUUUGAGUAACCGACUUGUAUAAGUGUAUGCUUCGAGGUUUGUUGCUGCUGAGUCUUUUGUAGAG
rnacentral:misc_RNA from 1 species